GCAACUCGCCUGUAUGAAGUCGGAAUUGCUAGUAAUCGCGGAUCAGCAUGCCGCGGUGAAUACGUUCCCGGGCCUUGUACACACCGCCGUCACACCAUGAGAGCCGGGAACACCCGAAGUCCGUAGUCUAACCGCAAGGAGGACGCGGCCGAAGGUGGGUUUGGUAAUUGGGGUGAAGUCGUAACAAGGUACC
rnacentral:rRNA from 1 species